rnacentral:rRNA from 1 species
GACAGAGGCCUCAAGCGUUAGGCGGAAUCACUGGGCUUAAAGCGUGUGUAGGCGGAUCGUUAAGUGUCUUGUGAAAUCCCCACGGCUCACCCGUGGAACUGCUGGGCAUACUGGCGAUCUUGGGCCAACUAGGGGCAACUGGAACAAGCGGUGGAGCGGUGAAAUGCGUAGAUAUCGCUUGGAACGCCAAAGGUGAAAACAGGUUGCUGGGGUUGUGCCGACG